rnacentral:lncRNA from 1 species
AGAAUCCUGCCCUCCUUGCCACUGACGGGACCAUCCGCACUGGGUCAGCCUAUGAGCAACACUGACCUGAUUCACCUGCACGCCUUCAUUCCCCCACCUUCAUCCUCCUCCUCGCAGAGGUGAUCAGAUGUUUGCAGGUGCCUGCCUGUGUUUACAAAAUCCAUCCCAGGAAACCACAUGACAUUUGGUCAUCUGCCAUUGCAUUCCUUUACGUGUAUGAUCAAGUGGUUCCCUGAGGGCUUUGAUGAUCAGGGCAGAGGCAGAAGGCACCACCUCAAUCUGGGCCUGUCUGUUCUGAAUGGUCAGUUUCACUGUAAUCCUCAGGCCCUUCCGGUAACCCGUUGCCUUGGCAAUGUUAUCACCAACCUUUUUUGGAGACAGACCCAGGGGGCCGAUCUUGGGGGCCAGCGCAGAAGCAGCGACUUCACCUCCAGUGCACCUCAGGUAUACAACUUUGAUCUCUCUGGGGUCAAACUUCACGGCAUGGUGGAGGUGGCUGGUGUGGGAUGAACCCGGAUUCGGGACAACCGAAGAAAGUUGCACCUUGGUCUCCUUCUCUUUUUUUUUUUUUUUUUUUUUUUUUUUUUUUUUUUUUUUGAGACAGAGUCUUUCUCUGAGAGAGAGUCUAGCUCUAUCGCCCAGGCUGGAGUGCAGUGGCAUGAUCUUGGCUCACUGCAACCUCCGCCUUCCGGGUUCAAGCGAUUCUCCUGUCUCAGUCUCCUGAAUAGCUGGGACUACAGGCACACGCCACCAUGCCCGGCUAAUUUUUGUAUUUUUAGUAGAGACGAGGGUCUCACCAUAUUGGUCAGGCUGAUCUCGAACUCCUGACCUCAGGUGAUCCACCGGCCUCUGCCUCCCAAAGUGCUGGGAUUACAGGCGUGAGCCACCGUGCCUGGCCCAGGCUGGACACUUUCUAGUUUUGCAAUCUGUUCUCUCCUCUCAGCCUCACUGCCACCCUGCGUGGUGCGUGGGCCGGAAUGACCCUUCCCCUCUUGCAGUUUGGAGAAGUUGAGGACCCGUGUGAACCCUGAAAUCAUUCAUGCCCGGGCUCCCCGUUCGCCAGCCCAUGCUGCCCUCUAGUGGUUGUGUGCGCACCUGCCUUUAGGGAGUCCAGGACAGCCGGGACAACCAGCUCAUCUGCAGACAGCAGUGGCCAGCCUUCCCAGGCUGCGCAGGGGACCCUAGGCAGGGACCGUCCCCCUCAGGACCCUUCCAGCACUGCAUGCCUUCACCAGCUCCUCUUCCUGUCUCGCAGCAUCUGGUUUAGAUGCAUAGAUAGAUGUAUUAUAUACGUAUAUUUUAAUUGUGCUAAAAUACAUGUAAAAUUUACCAUCGCAACUAACUGUACGGUUUCAUGGCAUUAAGUACCUUCACACUGUUGGGCAACCAUCACCACCAUACAUCUCCAGAACUAUUUUUUUUUUUAAGACAAAGUCUUACUGUGUCACCCAGGCUGGAAGCGCAGUGGUGCAAUCUUGGCUCACGACAACCUCUGCCUCCUGUGUUCAAGUGAUUCUCCCACGUCAGCCUCCCAAGUAGCUGGAACUACAGGUGCCCGCCACUCCACCUGGCUAAUAUUUUAUUUUAUUUUAUUUUUGAGACAGACUCUCUCUCUGUCGCCCAGGCUGGAGUGCAGUGGCGCGAUCUCGGCUCACUGCAAGCUCCGCCUCCUGGGUUCAGACCAUUCUCCUGCGUCAGCCUCCCGAGUAGCUGGGACUACAGGCGCCUGCCACCACACCCGGCUAAUUUUUUGUAUUUUUAGUGGAGACAGGGUUUCACCCUAUUAGCCAGGAUGGUCUCAAUCUCCUGACCUCGUGAUCCGCCCGCCUCGGCUUCCCAAAGAGCUGGGAUUACAGGCGUGAGCCACCGCGCCCGGCCCCUACCUGGCUAAUUUUUGUAUUUUUAGAGAGACAAGGUUUCACCAUGUUGGCCAGGCUGGUCUCGAACUCUGGCCAGCUUUUUUUUUUUUUUUUUUUUGACAGGGUCUCACUCUGUCACCCAGGCUGGAGUGCGACUUCGACCUCCCAGGCUCAGAUGACCCUCUUACCUUAACCCCUAGAGUAGCUGGAACUACAAGCGCAUGCCACCAUGCCUGGCUAAUUUUUUGUAGAGACAGGGUUUUGCCAUGUUGCCCAGGCUGGUCUUGAAUUCCUGGGCCCCAGCGAUUCGCCUGCCUUGACCUCCCAAAGUGCUGGGGUUACAGGCGUGAGCCACUGCGCCCAGCCUCCAGAACGCUAUUCUCCUUCCCAAACUGAAACUCUGCCCCCAUUAAACACUAAGCUCCUCAUUCCUAUUUCCCCCCAGUUCCUGGAAACCUCUGUUCUACAUUGUCUUUAUGAAUCUGACUAGAUACUCAUAUAAGUGGAAUCAUACAGUGUCUGUCCUUUUGUGUCUGCCUAUUUCACUGAGCACAAUGUUGUCAAGGUGUAUUCACAUUGUGGCAUGUGUCAGAAUGCCAUCCUUUUUUUUUGUUUGUUUUUUUGAGAUGGAGUCUCACUUUGUUGCCCAGGCUGGAGUGCAGUGGCACGAUCUCAGCUCAUCACAACCUCUGCCUCCUGGGUUCAAAUGAUUCUUCUUCCUCAGCCUCCCCAGUAGUUGGGACUACAGGUGUGUGCCACUAUGCCUGGCUAAUUUUUGUAUUUUUAGUAGAGACGGGGUUUUACCAUGUUGGCCAGGCUGAUCUUGAACUCCUGAUCUCGUGAUCCGCCUGCCUCAGCCUCCC